rnacentral:misc_RNA from 1 species
CCGAGUGAGGGCCCUCUGGGUCCAACCUCCCACCCGUGUUUAUUUACCUUGUUGCUUCGGCGGGCCCGCCUUCACUGGCCGCCGGGGGGCUCACGCCCCCGGGCCCGCGCCCGCCGAAGACACCCCCCGAACUCUGCCUGAAGAUUGCAGUCUGAGUGAAAAUAUAAAUUAUUUA